CUACGGGCCGCUGCAGUGAGGAAUAUUGCACAAUGGGGGGAACCCUGAUGCAGCAACGCCGCGUGGAGGAUGACGCAUUUCGAUGUGUAAACUCCUUUUAUAUGUCAAGAAAAUGACGGUAGCAUAUGAAUAAGCACCGACUAACUCCGUGCCAGCAGCCGCGGUAAUACGGAGGGUGCAAGCGUUACUCGGAAUCACUGGGCGUAAAGGACGCGUAGGCGGGUUGGAAAGUCAGGUGUGAAAUCCUACAGCUUAACUGUAGAACUGCACUUGAAACUUCUAAUCUAGAGUAUGGAAGGGGGAGAUGGAAUUAGUGGUGUAGGGGUAAAAUCCGUAGAUAUCACUAGGAAUACCUAAAGCGAAGGCGAUCUCCUGGAACAUUACUGACGCUAAGGCGUGAAAGCGUGGGGAGCAAACAGGAUUAGAUACCCGCGUAGUC
rnacentral:rRNA from 1 species